rnacentral:tRNA from 1 species
UGCCCAGUGGUCCCAUGGUUAGGACUCUGCACUUUCACUGCUGAGGACAUAGGUUUGAUCCCUGGUUGGGGAA